UGUUAAGGUUAUGCGAGGGGUUAAUAGUGUUGUUGAGUUGUUGCUGAGUUGUUAAGGUUAUGCGAGGGGUUAAUAGUGUUGUUGAGUUGUUGCUGAGUUGUUGAGGUGAAGCGAGGGGUUAAUAGUGUUGCUGAGUUGUUAAGGUUAUGCGAGGGGUUAAUAGUGUUGUUGAGUUGUUGCUGAGUUGUUGAGGUGAAGCGAGGGGUUAAGAGUGUUGCUGAGUUGUUGAGGUGAUGCGAGGGGUUAAUAGUGUUGCUGAGUUGUUGAGG